AUUACAACAGCCAUAAUUUACUCGAUCUUGAACCCACUACAAGGAUAACUGUGGUAAUUCUAGAGCUAAUACUUGCACCGAAGCUGUCCCCCAAGGGCAGUGCAUUUAUUGGAGCAAAACCAGGCGACUUCGGUCGUUCUUGCUGACUCAGAAUAACUAAGCUGACCGCAUGGGCUUGUCCCGGCGGCGUGUCGUUCAAGUGUCUGCCUUAUCAACUUUCGAUGGUAGUGUACGUGACUACCAUGGUUGUGACGGGUAACGGAGGAUAAGGGUUCGACUCCGGAGAAGGCGCCUGAGAAAUGGCGACUACGUCUAAGGAUGGCAGCAGGCGCGCAAAUUACCCACUCUCGGUUCGAGGAGGUAGUGACGAAAAAUAACAAGGCCGUUCUCUUAUGAGGCCGGCCAUUGGAAUGGGUACAACUCAAACCCUUUAACGAGUAUCAAUGAGAGGGCAAGUCUGGUGCCAGCAGCCGCGGUAAUUCCAGCUCUCAAAAUGCAUAGAACCAUUGCUGCGGUUAAAAAGCUCGUAGUUGGAUCUGUGCCGGCGCCGUGGUCCACCCUGACGGGCGGUACUGCGUGCGUCGGCUUUGGGCCGGUCUUCGGCCGGUGGCCUUCACUGGUCGCCGUCCGUGGCUGGCUGGUUUACUUUGAGCAAAUCAGAGUGCUCAGCACAGGCGUCUUGCCGGUAUGUUCGUGCAUGGAAUAAUAGAACAGGAUCACGGUCCUCUUUUAUUGGUUUUGUGGACUGAGAUAAUGGUUAACAGAGACGAACGGGGGCAUUCGUAUUGCUGCGUGAGAGGUGAAAUUCUUGGACCGCAGCAGGACGGACUACAGCGAAAGCAUUUGCCAAGCGCGUCUUCAUUAAUCAAGAACGAAAGUCAGAGGUUCGAAGGCGAUCAGA
rnacentral:rRNA from 1 species